rnacentral:lncRNA from 1 species
CGAGUGAAACGUUAUCGAGAUUUCUAAGCAUACAGAAAUUUGUAAAAACAGAGAAUCGAUCUUAUAGGCUUUCAGUUAGCUGAAAUUUACACAUUGCAGAUUAAAAUCAAUCAUGAAAUUACAGUAGAGAACUAUUACUGGUUUUUAUCGUGUAUUCUAAAUAGUUAAAAGUCGCUAUACAGAUUGUUUAGCGAUCACUGACAGAAAACAUAUUGAUCACAGUAGGUAAUCGAACUUGAGGGAAGAAUAGUUUUUGUUAGACAUCACUAUGUGUAUGAUAAUCACGUAGAAUAGUCGUGUAUCAAAAUGGUAGUCAUCUUAACGUGCUACAAGUGUAGCGUCAGAGAAAAACGAAGGGAUAUUCAAGUUAACUUUCAUACGUGUGUGUGUGUGUGUGUGUGUGUAUGUGUGUGUGUGACAGAAAUAGAAUUCUAUACAUUCUUUUCUUAAUGCAGGCGUACAUUAUUUAUCUCGCCUGGUAGAGUUCGUCGUCGUGUCAACGAAUUAGAGGAUGCUAAACAAAUACAGCUGGAGUACGGCUUCACUCUGCCUUGUAACUACGUUAUAUAUAAAAAGAGAAAAAAAAUUACGAUGUUAUGAAAGUGAUCUGUUUUAUGUGACCAUUUAAAUACGCGGCGUCUGAAUUGUUUUUUUUACCAAUUCAACAUACAGUUAUUACAUAGAGUAAUUAUGUGCUUUAAAUAAUAUUAGGAAAAAUAGUUACACUUCAAAACCUACUACUUUUACAUGAAUAACUAUAUUAUGAAUACUUUGUGCCUCUUAUAUUACUGUUAUUACAGGCAGUAAUAUCAGCUACUAAACACCAAUCAUUGUAGAAACUAUAUGACAUGUUCUUAUUAUUCAUCUGUAUAAUAUUGUUAAUCUGAGACAGCCAUGGUAAAUUAUUACUUAUAUAAAUUACUUACAAAAUUCGAUAUUUACUAUCUUUUCUGCUUUGGCGGUCUUUACUAAUGAUAAUAUGGUCUGACAACUUUGCGAAUCUUCCGAUUGAUACCAGUGUAUGUAUAGAUAGCGUAGAAAUGUAUCACAUUGAAUUCGUACUCGUUCGGUAAAUCUGGAUUUCGAAAAAGUGGCAUCGAUGUGGUUCUUAACAUAUGGCCCCCAAAAUUCAUAGUUCGAUGAUAAUAAUAAAUAAUGGAACAUUAUUUAUUAAUUAAUAAUAACAAAUAGUAAAACAGCAAUGCGUUUCUUAUAAAAAUCCAAUUCCUGUAUUGCAAUGGCAUCAAAGCCUCGAAUAAAGCUAGCUGGUUACUGAAGAAGCACAUGAGGACCUUCAAAAUAUUUCAAACCCAUUUAGAAAUAGGUAUAAUCCAUUGCAUUGUAUGGUGGUGAGCAACUUUUACUGGUAUUCGGAUCAUCUAUGAGUGAAGCGGGAUUCGGUCCGAUCUCUUCAAGGCGUUUACACUGCGUAAACAUGUAAUCCUUCCUUUUUGGUUCUUUUCCGUCCAAAAGGCGAGGAAAAUUUGUUAUUUUCGAGUAACCCGUGAUGAUAGUUGGACAUGCUGUGCACAACUAGUUCAACAGAUGUCACCAUUUGUUUGCUAUUCAGUUAUCAGCCGUCUUAUUUAGUCAUCAGUCGGUUUUGUUUACAUUGUUGGCGCCAUAACUAAGUGGCCGAAUAUCCCUUACCGUUACCGCAUCUAGCUAGCUCACUUCUUCCAAGCAGACGGAAAAUCGUUCAGGCUUGUUACAUUGACAAAAUCCAGACAUGGACAAACAAAAGGAGACGAUCAAAUGUUUUUUUUGCUCCGCGCGAUCUCCAACAGUAAGACUUACGACGUAUUUUUCUCACAAGGGACCAUUCGAAGGGUAUAUGACCGCCCAUCGGUAGCUUGUAUCCCCUUUUCUUCGACGGAUUCGGAUACGCCGUGUCAGGCACGUUUCCUGCCUUUGAGCUGGCGAAGUGACAACUUGCGCAUAAAAGUAGCUUCUGGGCGCGGCGGUUUCCAUUUAAAUAAGUCAGAAAGUUCAACGGCGAGAAGGACGACAACGCGGACUAUCCGUGUAAUUUCAUCAGAUAUACUUGCUCCGCCAUCUCUCUUUCUGUUACACGAAUUCAAUCAACUAUUUGAUGGAGCAGACUUGGACUGCUUGCACUACAGCGUCAAUAGAAGCCGGCUGAAAAGGUGUUCAACAGCUCUUAACCUUUAGGGAAUAAGCACUAAAAAAAAAUGUGCUGCGUGUGGAAUAGGUUCGGUAAAGAGAAGUCUUGCCGAUAAUUUUUAUUGAAAUGAUUAAUCUUGGCAUUGGCGGAACCUUGUGUCUUAGAAAAACCUAAUCUGAUUGUCAAAGAUAGGUACGCCACAGUUGUUUAUAAGUGUUGUUGCUAGACUAACGAUCGGCGUAUUGAACUACGAACGAUCAAUUGAAAAAGACGUUGUUGUUGGCCGUAUUUAUUAUCUACUGUUUUGAUCAUAACAAACUGCUUAAAUAUUGAGACGACGAAUAAAAUGUAAAUGCUGUAUAAUACUAACUCAACAUCGGGUCAGAAAGCGAACUUUCGGCUGCGCUUUUCUACUCGGCAGUCACGUUUAGAGCAACUGUAUACUUGCCAUUUAAUUGCCCCAUGUCAUCCUUACAGGUUCGAUUUAAAGGUAUAGCUCCUAUAGCCGAACUAGAUCUGGUUGGAAAGUCGACGCACAUUCUAUAGAUAAUGUAAAAACAAAUCAGCUCUUUUGAAACAGGUUUAUAUAUAUAUAUAUAUAUAUAUAUAUAUAUAUGUUCUGUGUUUGUGACGUUUGUCAAAAAUACAGUAGCGUAUGCUUUACACAGAUUGUGUUGAGAAAAUCGAGUUUAAAAGGAAGUAUUUCAACAAAUGAAAUCAAUCUGUCGCAAGGACCAAGGAUCGUUGCAAUAAGUUACUCCAAUGGCACAUGCUGCAUGAAAUGAGUAAAUACAGAAGUUAUUUAUCUGUGAUGGUAUAGUCCUCCCAUUAGAUUUACAAACAGGUGAAGCGGUCUAGGUUCGAAACCAGGCGAAGACCUAUUUCGUUUGCCAGAAUAGUCGGUUAUGUGAAGUAACGCUCAGCACGAUCAUUGAACGUAAAAAUUGAAAUAUUUGGUAAAUCAGUAGACAGUCUCAUUUCUAACACAGGUGUUAAUUUUUGCUUUUAAAAUUAAAGAUCAUCUGAAAUAAGUUUUUUGCUUGUUUGGUAAAUCUGAUUUAGCGAAAAUACAGAAUUCUUUCGAAUCUGCGUGAUGAUCGGCAAUGGCAUGGCCUGCAGCUUCUAUAGCUUGAUUAUCGUUUAAAUAUAUAAUUCCAGCGUGAAAAAAUUGGAUAAUGGCCACUUAUAUUUAGAAGAUAACUCUGGUGCUCUUAUCAUGAUAGUGGUGUGGAUUUGUUCCAGAAAAAACGAUUCACCAAAGUCAAGCUUGUUCGAAAUGCAAAUUUUGUAAUGUAACAUUUCGUUAUCAAUAAGGCCGUAGACGAUAUUUUACCGAUCAUCUCUUUUAGUUAACGUGUAUCGUAGACUAACACACAGAAGAACAUGACGCUGGCAGGCACUUUGAUAAAGCGUUUUCAUGGACUGAUUGCUUAUAUUGUAGAACUAUACCGCUCCGCAGAUGGGUGGUUAGCGAAAAGACGCCGGUAAGCGAUAGUACGUAUCACCGUCUAUAAAUAUACAUCUAUUUUCCUUCUUUAUGAUGAUGAUAGGCCAUAGAUGGAUGAUCAAGUACAAGAAACGUUUCUACUCGACCGGAAAAUCCUUUUAUUUCACUAAAUGAUUAGAAGCACACUCCAUUGACCCAGAGCUACUUACACGUUUCCAGUUUUACGUCCGACGCUACCGUUGAACAGUGCUGCCGCCGCCGACGGCUAGUCUCGGCAUUCACCAAGGUGCUUUCAUACCCGCCCUCUAAUUGAAACCACCUCACGUGUUGCCAAGUUUUGUUAACAAAUUUACCAAUACAUUACUAUUGACAUACAGGAACUUAAAACAGCAUCUACCAAUAAAGUCGCCUUCUUUAACCAAAUAUUUCUAAUUUAACUUUUGACAGAUCAUAUUAUCUUUGUUAUCCAUGAAUGUGCCGUUUUCAUGAUAUGGUUAUAUUAUCGUAACUCUCGGAGCUUGUAUUUGGUUUUAAAGGAAUUUGUUUGAAUUGUUUCUAUUUGUUUAAAAAUUAAAUGCGAAAGACUUUCUAGCGAAAGAUCUUUGCGAUUUAACAUGCAUGUACACUUUAAAAAGCCAUCUGAGAUUAAAAAAAAAAAGAACUAAAUACAAAACUAUUUUUAUUGAUUAAGUUAGCCACAUUCGGUUACUUUCUUUUAGGACCUUUUAGUCUUUUUAAAAGCUCGUC